ACCACGUGACAAGUCAGCCCCGAGUGGGGAGGAUGUUGUCAGCUGUUGUCACUGUUACUCUGGGAGGGACAUUUACUGGUGGGCGUUUUCACUGUCUUCAUCUCUAAGGACACUAACUGUGAACGUGGUAUAAGGAAGAAUGAAGGACAGGGGCUUCCCUGAUGAUCCAGUGGCUAAGACUCCAAGCUCCCAGUGCAGGGGGCCUGGGUUUGAUCCCUGGUCAGGGAACUAGGUCCCGCAUGCCACAACUAAAGAUCCUGCAUGUCACAAUGAAGACUGAAGAGCCCACGUGCUGCAACUAAGCCGGUGCAGCCAAAGAAAGAAAUAGUAAAUUAAAAGAAGAAUGCCGGAUGGUAACCGGGACCAUCCUUUUUCAUCACUGAUAGAGGGCGACACUGGCUUUCCUGGCAGGUGGAGUCCUGCACUGUCCCCAUUGUGCUCAGCUGGCAGAUCGGCCUUGGUGACAGCUGACAGGAAGCAGCUGCCGCUGCACCGGCUGAGGACUCCCGAUUCCCAGCCUGCGGAGACCCUGGAAGCCCCUCCCGCUCCACACUCGGCAAAGGUCCUGGGGAGCCGUCUGAGAGCGCCAGUCCCCGCCCUGUCCUGAUGCAGCAGCCUCACU